rnacentral:rRNA from 1 species
GACGAACGCUGGCGGCGUGCUUAACACAUGCAAGUCGAACGGAAAGGCCCUGCUUUUGUGGGGUGCUCGAGUGGCGAACGGGUGAGUAACACGUGAGUAACCUGCCCUUGACUUUGGGAUAACUUCAGGAAACUGGGGCUAAUACCGGAUAGGAGCUCCUGCUGCAUGGUGGGGGUUGGAAAGUUUCGGCGGUUGGGGAUGGACUCGCGGCUUAUCAGCUUGUUGGUGGGGUAGUGGCUUACCAAGGCUUUGACGGGUAGCCGGCCUGAGAGGGUGACCGGCCACAUUGGGACUGAGAUACGGCCCAGACUCCUACGGGAGGCAGCAGUGGGGAAUAUUGCACAAUGGGCGGAAGCCUGAUGCAGCAACGCCGCGUGCUGGAUGACGGCCUUCGGGUUGUAACCCGCUUUCGCCUGUGACGAAGCGUGAGUGACGGUAAUGGGUAAAGAAGCACCGGCUAACUACGUG